AAAUCAUUCACAGUGGGCGAAAGCCUGAUGGUGCGACGCCGCGUGAGGGAUGAAGGUCUUCGGAUUGUAAACCUCUGUCACCGGGGAAGAAACGCUUUGAGUUAAUAGUUCAAAGCCUGACUUAACCCGGAGAGGAAGCAGUGGCUAACUCUGUGCCAGCAGCCGCGGUAAUACAGAGACUGCAAGCGUUAUUCGGAUUCACUGGGCGUAAAGGGUGCGCAGGCGGUUGGGUGUGUCAGAUGUGAAAUCCCGAGGCUCAACCUCGGAACUGCGUCUGAAACUACUCGACUAGAGUACUGGAGAGGGUAACGGAAUUCACGGUGUAGCAGUGAAAUGCGUAGAUAUCGUGAGGAACACCAGAGGCGAAGGCGGUUACCUGGACAGUUACUGACGCUCAGGCACGAAAGCAUGGGGAGCAAAAGGGAUUAGAUACCCCUGUAGUCCAUGCCCUAAACGGUGCACACUAGGUCUUAGCGGAUUCGACCCCACUAGGGCCCAAGCUAACGCGUUAAGUGUGCCGCCUGAGGACUACGGUCGCAAGACUAAAACUCAAAGGAAUUGACGGGGGCCCGCACAAGCGGUGGAGCAUGUGGCUCAAUUCGAUGCAACGCGAAGAACCUUACCAGGCCUUGACAUGCACUAGACCGACUCUGAAAGGAGUCUUCCCUUCGGGGCUGGUGCACAGGUGCUGCAUGGCUGUCGUCAGCUCGUGUCGUGAGAUGUUGCGUUAAGUCGCGCAACGAGCGCAACCCCUGUCCUUAGUUGCCAUCAGGUAAAGCUGGGCACUCUAGGGAGACAAACCCUCUUUGAGGGUGGGAAGGUGGGGAUGACGUCAAGUCAGGAUGGCCCUUACGGCCUGGGCUGCACACGUGCUACAAUGCUCGGUACAGAGGGACGCAAGACCGCGAGGUGGAGCAAAUCCCAAAAACCGAGCCCAGUUCAGAUUGCAGUCUGCAACUCGACUGCAUGAAGCCGGAAUCGCUAGUAAUGGCGUAUCAGCUACGACGCCGUGAAUACGUUCCCGGGCCUUGUACACACCGCCCGUCACGUCAUGAAAGCCGGUUUUGCCCGAAGUGCGUUUGCCAACCAGCAAUGGAGGCGGCGCCCUAAGGUGAGGCUGGUGAUUGGGACGAAGUCGUAACAAGGUAGCCGUAGGGGAACCUGCGGCUG
rnacentral:rRNA from 1 species